UACGAAGGGGGCUAGCGUUGCUCGGAAUCACUGGGCGUAAAGGGUGCGUAGGCGGGGCUUUAAGUCAGAGGUGAAAUCCUGGAGCUCAACUCCAGAACUGCCUUUGAUACUGGAGAGCUUGAGUCCGGGAGAGGUGAGUGGAACUCCGAGUGUAGAGGUGAAAUUCGUAGAUAUUCGGAAGAACACCAGUGGCGAAGGCGGCUCACUGGCCCGGUACUGACGCUGAUGUGCGAAAGCGUGGGGAGCAAACAGG
rnacentral:rRNA from 1 species